rnacentral:rRNA from 1 species
CCUACGGGAGGCAGCAGUGGGGAAUCUUGCGCAAUGGGCGAAAGCCUGACGCAGCAACGCCGCGUGCGGGAAGAAGGCUUUCGGGCUGUAAACCGCUUUCAGCAGGAACGAAAAUGACGGUACCUGCAGAAGAAGGAGCGGCCAACUAUGUGCCAGCAGCCGCGGUGAUACAUAGGCUUCAAGCGUUGUCCGGAUUUAUUGGGCGUAAGGAGUUCGUAGGCGGUCGAGUAAGUCGGGUGUGAAAAUUCUGGGCUCAACCCAGAGACGCCACCCGAUACUGCUUGACUUGAGUUCGAUAGGGGAGUGGGGAAUUCCUAGUGUAGCGGUGAAAUGCGCAGAUAUUAGGAGGAACACCGGUGGCGAAGGCGCCACUCUGGAUCGAUACUGACGCUGAGGAACGAAAGCAUGGGUAGCAAACAGGAUUAGAUACCCUGGUAGUCCAUGCCGUAAACGGUGGGCACUAGGUGUGGGUUUCUAUUAACGAAAUCCGCGCCGUCGCUAACGCAUUAAGUGCCCCGCCUGGGGAGUACGGUCGCAAGCUAAAACUUAAAUGAAUUGACGG